GACAGAGGGUGCAAACGUUGUUCGGAAUUACUGGGCGUAAAGCGCGUGUAGGUGGCGAGGCAAGUCGGGUGUGAAAGCCCUGGGCUCAACCCAGGAAGUGCACUCGAUACUGCCUAGCUAGAGUCCCGGAGAGGUUGGUGGAACUCUCGGUGUAGAGGUGAAAUUCGUAGAUAUCGAGAAGAACACCGGUGGCGAAGGCGGCCUUCUGGACAGUGACUGACGCUGAGAUGCGAAAGCGUGGGGAGCAAACAGG
rnacentral:rRNA from 1 species